rnacentral:rRNA from 1 species
UGAGCAAUCUGCCCUUCUCUUUGGAAUAAGCGUUGGAAACGACGUCUAAUGCCGAAUACGACCUCCUUUCGCAUGAUCGGAGGUGGAAAGCUCCGGCGGUCAAGGAUGGGCUCGCGGCCUAUCAGCUUGUUGGUGAGGUAACGGCUCACCAAGGCUUCGACGGGUAGCCGGCCUGAGAGGGCGACCGGCCACACUGGGACUGAGAUACGGCCCAGACUCCGUACGGGAGGCAGCAGG